AUACUUACCUGGCAGGGGAGAUACCAUGAUCACUAAGGUGGUUCUCCCAGGGCGAGGCUCAUCCAUUGCACUCCGGGUGUGCUGACCCCUGCGAUUUCCCCAAAUGCGGGAAACUCGACUGCAUAAUUUGUGGUAGUGGGGGACUGCGUUCGCGCUCUCCCCUG
ensembl:snRNA U1 U1 spliceosomal RNA